rnacentral:tRNA from 1 species
UUCAUUGCUCAGUUGGUAAAGCACAAAGCUAUUAACCUUGUGGACGUGGGUUCAAUCCCUACGAUGGAA